rnacentral:rRNA from 1 species
UACAGAGGGUGCAAGCGUUAAUCGGAAUUACUGGGCGUAAAGCGUGCGUAGACGGUUACAUAAGUCGGGUGUGAAAGCCCCGGGCUCAACCUGGGAAUUGCAUUCGAGACUGCGUAGCUAGGGUGCGGAAGAGGGAAGCGGAAUUUCCGGUGUAGCGGUGAAAUGCGUAGAUAUUCGGAAGAACACCAGUGGCGAAGGCGGCUCACUGGACUGGUAUUGACGCUCAUGUGCGAAAGCGUGGGGAGCAAACAGG